CACGUAGGGGGCAAGCGUUGUCCGGAUUUAUUGGGCGUAAAGAGCUCGUAGGCGGUUUCGUAAGUCGGGUGUGAAAACUCUAGGCUCAACCUAGAGACGCCACCCGAUACUGCGAUGACUAGAGUCCGGUAGGGGAGUGUGGAAUUCCUGGUGUAGCGGUGACAUGCGCAGAUAUCAGGAGGAACACCAACGGCGAAGGCAGCACUCUGGGCCGGAACUGACGCUGAGGAGCGAAAGCGUGGGUAGCGAACAGG
rnacentral:rRNA from 1 species